rnacentral:tRNA from 1 species
GGGGAUAUAGCUCAGUUAGUAGAGUAUUUGCCUCACAUGCAUAAGGCCCUGGGUUCAAUCUCCAGCACCACCA